AGCUAACGCAUUAAGUGCCCCGCCUGGGGAGUACGGCCGCAAGGCUAAAACUCAAAGGAAUUGACGGGGGCCCGCACAAGCGGCGGAGCAUGCGGAUUAAUUCGAUGCAACGCGAAGAACCUUACCAAGGCUUGACAUGGACCGGAUCGCUGCAGAGAUGUAGUUUCCCUUCGGGGCUGGUUCACAGGUGGUGCAUGGUUGUCGUCAGCUCGUGUCGUGAGAUGUUGGGUUAAGUCCCGCAACGAGCGCAACCCUUAUCCUAUGUUGCCAGCACGUAAUGGUGGGGACUCAUGGGAGACUGCCGGGGUCAACUCGGAGGAAGGUGAGGAUGACGUCAAAUCAUCAUGCCCCUUAUGUCUUGGGCUUCACGCAUGCUACAAUGGCCGGUACAGUGGGUUGCGAUACUGUGAAGUGGAGCUAAUCCCUAAAAGCCGGUCUCAGUUCGGAUCGAAGUCUGCAACUCGACUUCGUGAAGUUGGAGUCGCUAGUAAUCGCAGAUCAGCAACGCUGCGGUGAAUACGUUCCCGGGCCUUGUACACACCGCCCGUCACACCAUGGGAGUUUGUUGCACCAGAAGUAGCUAGCCUAACUGCAAAGAGGGCGGUUACCACGGUGUGGCCGAUGACUGGGGUG
rnacentral:rRNA from 1 species